UAUGAGCACUAGAUGGACACUUCCUGCCUCA
rnacentral:piRNA from 1 species